rnacentral:lncRNA from 1 species
CUACUACUUAGGAAAUCAGCUUCAGUGCUAAUGAUGAACUAUCCUCAACUUAGACCUAACCAACAUCUCGGCAAGCCCUCUGCCUGAAUUACGUGGACUAGAGAUGCCCACGGAGCUCCCCCACCCUUUGUAAUAAGUCAAUACAUAGAACAACUGCCUUAGAAAAACUGGAUGUGAAGGUCAGAAGGGGUGAAGUUUACUGACAAAUCAAAAAGAAUGCAGUUCUGUCUGCUGAUUAUGCAACAGUAACUCCAGGAGGGCAGCAGCAGUAGCAGCCUCUGUGGCCUCCACUCCCAGCAGAAGGCAACAUUUCAGAACUGGCAGAGCCAAGGAAUGCACGAAACAUCCAAGGGCCGACUCGGAUAUUUGCGGAAUACGAAGGUGUUUAGGAAAACAGAAAAUCCACCACAGCUGGUGGGCGUGGGUCCACUUGAAAACUAAACUCACUGGGACAUUUCCACCCUGAAACUGUAGACAUGACUGGUUCACAUUUAUGAAGAGGCGACGAAAAGGGGCCUCGGUGCGGUCUGCAUGAGGUGGCUGCUGGGCAGAAGAGCUGUGAGCACAUGAAACAUGGCUUCUCUCCUCCCAAAGCUCACCACCAAGGCUCCGUAGAAAGAACUGAAGAGAGGCUAAGUUUCCC